rnacentral:rRNA from 1 species
GAUGAACGCUAGCUACAGGCUUAACACAUGCAAGUCGAGGGGUCUCGAGGGAGCUUGCUCUUGAGAGACGACCGGCGCACGGGUGCGUAACGCGUAUCCAACCUUCCCGUUACUCCGGGAUAGCCUUCCGAAAGGGAGAUUAAUACCGGAUGGUGUUUGAAGUCCGCAUGAAAUUCAAACUAAAGAUUUAUCGGUAACGGAUGGGGAUGCGUACCAUUAGAUAGUAGGCGGGGUAACGGCCCACCUAGUCUACGAUGGUUAGGGGUUCUGAGAGGAAGGUCCCCCACACUGGAACUGAGACACGGUCCAGACUCCUACGGGAGGCAGCAGUGAGGAAUAUUGGUCAAUGGCCGUAAGGCUGAACCAGCCAAGUAGCGUGAAGGAUGAAGGUUCUAUGGAUUGUAAACUUCUUUUAUACGGGAAUAACACCAUCUACGUGUAGAUGUCUGCAUGUACCGUAUGAAUAAGCAUCGGCUAACUCCGUG